AUUGAACGCUGGCGGAAUGCUUUACACAUGCAAGUCGAACGGUAGAGGGGGCAACCCCUCGAGAGUGGCGAACGGGUGAGUAAUAUAUCGGAACGUGCCCAGUCGUGGGGGAUAACGUAGCGAAAGUUACGCUAAUACCGCAUACGAUCUACGGAUGAAAGCGGGGGAUCGCAAGACCUCGCGCGAUUGGAGCGGCCGAUAUCAGAUUAGGUAGUUGGUGAGGUAAAGGCUCACCAAGCCAACGAUCUGUAGCUGGUCUGAGAGGACGACCAGCCACACUGGAACUGAGACACGGUCCAGACUCCUACGGGAGGCAGCAGUGGGGAAUUUUGGACAAUGGGCGAAAGCCUGAUCCAGCAAUGCCGCGUGUGUGAAGAAGGCCUCGGUUGUAAGCACUUUGUCCGGAAAGAAAGUACCUCUGGUUAAGUACCUCGGGGGAGUGACGGUACCGGAAGAAUAAGCACCGGCUAACUACGUG
rnacentral:rRNA from 1 species